AUUAUUUCCUCUCUUAUCCUUUUGUUUGAAGAUGUCGUAAGGUCUAGGGGCCAAUGUAAAGUCUGGAUCAGCAGAGUGGAGAAAAAAGGGGAACUAAAGUAAAGAAAGCCUCUGUUCUGAACGAUUAACUGUCGAAAUGAGGGAACAUGAAAGAAGUGAAAAGCCUUGUUGGCGGGAGAUGGUAGCGAAUAUUGCUAAGUUGGAUUGGAAUAAUUUAUCGCUAAUGGAGGAACAACCUCAAGGAUUUUAACUCCCUAAUUGGAUUGCUUGCUACAAAAUGUAACGAUUUUGUACUGGAUGGCAGCAUCUGUGAAGCAAACUCUAAAAAGUGGUCAUACGAUUUCUUUAGCAGACGGCCAUGGACUGAUGAACUGAUGAGAGAUUGCUUGAACGAUUGACUUACCGACUGACAACUGAUUAACUUAGAGAUACGAUCGACCGACUGAAAAAGUAACCGUUUAAUUUGCCUACUAUUCAACCGACUAACUGACUGACUUCCUGGUACGUUGAAUAAAUGAAUGACCAACUUA